CCAGUUGCUCUUUCUAUUUUUUUGGUGGAUCUUUUUUGGAAUAUUCAUGCUUUGUAUCAGAUCAAAGAAAAGUACUGACCAAAUACAUGCAACAUAUUGGUAAUCUAGAAACAUAUAAAAGAAGAGUACAAGAUAUAUGCAAGAGAGUGUUACAAAUUAAAGGGGACAAAGAGUGGUGUAGAUUGUAGAGAAAAUUUUCAAGAAAAAAAAGGAAGAAAGAAAAAAGUGAUGAAUGAUGAUGGUAAUGGUAGGGAUGGUGGGGAACAUAUAUCUUCUUUAUCUUUUACCCUUGUUUUCUUCUCUCUCUCUCUCUGUCUCUCGUCUCUAUUACAUGUUUAGAGUUUCUUUUGGUUCAAGCUACAUCUUUUUCUGUCUAAAUCUAUUUGCUUCUUCAAACCAAACGUUAUCUUCGCCAUAAAUAUCGGUCAUUAAUUACCUGUGUAUGCUUAAUUCUGGCUUAUUGAUAAAUACAAUAGCAAUAAAAAAGAUAAAUGCAAUACCUUACAUUUCUGUUUAAAAUCUCUCAAUAAUAAAAAUGUAAAAGGAAGAAAGCAAGUAGUUUCGAAUGAUCUUGUCAACUUAACUGGCCAUGAAUAACCUAAAGGUAUAUUUUAGAUUUCAUUAAGAAAAUUAAAACAAGACUAGUGGCGAGUACCGUCUUCAUAAGAAAUUAGGUGGAUUCAUCCUAAAUACUCCCAGUCAAUAACAAAUAAAAACUAAAGAGAGUGAUGAGGCGACAAAGUGAGGAGACACGUGGAAAAAGGUACGUUGACGUGGGGAAUGUGAAAAUGUUGUCGAUGGUGUUUACGGGCAUUGUGUCUGCAUUUUCUCGUGCUUGCAAAAAAAAAAUGUUUUCAAGUGUGUGAUGAAGAUUGUGACGUCUCCUUAGGUCCUUUUAAGUGUCCAGAGGCGAAGAAUCUUUCAUUAGCUCCUCUCUUUAAGGUUACGCAUUCAUUACUCAUUUAUCAUGCUUCCCUUGCUUGAUUGAUAAAAGGGCUGGUUUUAAUACUGAUUUUUUUUUUAUUAGUUUUAGUACUGAAAAAUUGGUUGGACUUGACUAUUUGCUUUAUGUUAAUUAUAAAGUAACAAGUAAAGAAACUGAAAGAGUGUAACUAAGAGCAUGAUUAUUACAGUUUUUUAAGAGGGUUUUUAAACAAAUAACAUCAUUUAAUUAAAUGAAAACUAAAUGAAACUGUAAUAAUCGAUCCUUAAUGUGGAUGUUUGAUAACGGAUCCUUAAGUCUUGAAAGUGCACACGUGUCACUCUCAGCCAUCAAUUUUAUUUUCUUUUUCUUUUUCUUUUUUCUUUUCUUUUUCUUUUCUAUUUUUCUGUUAUUCUUUUUCUUCUCUUGUCUUCUCAGAUGGCUCUCGUAACCUGCAAUUGUCGUGAGCAGAGAUGUUGGUCCGUGGUCGUGAGCAGCUGUGAGCAGAAUCGCCGGAAGUGAACCCAUGACGAAUCAGAGACUCCGCCGGUGAGGAUCAGAAGAAUAAGAAGACGCCGUGGCCACACCAGUCAAUCUUCCUGUUUCGGGUGGUGAAGGAAGAUGAUGACGUGGUGCCUUAAGGCGGUGUGUCUUUUUUUUUAGGUUUAGAUUUUUUUUUUUGGUUUAGUGUAUACCUAAAAUUGAGAUGGUUUGAUUUUAUUUUUUUAAUUUAUGGUUUAGUUUUGUAAACCAAAAUGUAUUUGUAAGCCACUUUUAAUUAAUAAAUAAAUAAGUCUAUGAACGAA